rnacentral:rRNA from 1 species
GAAUAUUGGACAAUGGUCGGAAGACUGAUCCAGCCAUGCCGCGUGAAGGACGAAGGCGCUCAGCGUUGUAAACUUCUUUUGGAUGGGAAUAAUACUCUCGAUUAAUCGGGACUUGAAGGUACCAUCCGAAUAAGCACCGGCUAACGCCGUGCCAGCAGCCGCGGUAAUACGGAGGGGGCGAGCGUUAUCCUGAAUCACUGGGUUUAAAGGGUGCGUAGGCGGCGAGGUAAGUCAGUUGUGAAAUUCCCCGGCUCAACCGGUGGGACUGCGAUUGAUACUGCUUUGCUUGAAACAGGUUGAGGUAAGCGGAAUGUGGCAUGUAGCGGUGAAAUGCAUAGAUAUGCCAUAGAACACCGAUUGCGAAGGCAGCUUGCUGGGCCUGAUUUGACGCUGAGGCACGAAAGCGUGGGGAGCAAACAGG